rnacentral:rRNA from 1 species
AUUGAACGCUGGCGGCAGGCCUAACACAUGCAAGUCGAACGAGUGGCGCACGGGUGUGUAAUGUCUGGGAAAUUGCCUGACGGAGGGGGAUCACCUCUGGAAACGGUCGAUAAUCCCGUAAACUAUCGGUUGUGCCCAGAUGGGUUUAGCUAGUAGGUGGGGUAAAGGCUCACCUAGGCGACGACCCCUAGCUGGUCUGAGAGGAUGACCAGCCAAACUGGAACUGAGACACGGUCCAGACUCCUACGGGAGGCAGCAGUGGGGAAUAUUGCACAAUGGGCGCAAGCCUGAUGCAGCCAUGCCGCGUGUAUGAAGAAGGCCUUCGGGUUGUAAAGUACUUUCAGCGGGGAGGCGUUACCCGCAGAAGAAGCACCGGCUAACUCCGUGCCAGCAGCCGCGGUAAUUC